GAUGAAGAACGCAGCGAAAUGCGAUAAGUAAUGUGAAUUGCAGAAUUCAGUGAAUCAUCGAAUGUUUGAACGCACAUUGCGCCCCCUGGUAUUCCGGGGGGCAUGCCUGUCCGAGCGUCAUUACAACCCUCAAGCCCAGCUUGGUGUUGGGCCCCGCCGCCCCGGCGGGCCCUAAAGUCAGUGGCGGUGCCGUCCGGCUCCGAGCGUAGUAAUUCUUCUCGCUCUGGAGGUCCGGUCGUGUGCUCGCCAGCAACCCCCAAUUUUUUUCAGGUUGACCUCGGAUCAGGUAGGGAUACCCGCUGAACUUAAGCAUAUCAAUAAGCGGAGGA
rnacentral:misc_RNA from 1 species